rnacentral:rRNA from 1 species
AUUGAACGCUGGCGGCAGGCUUAACACAUGCAAGUCGAGCGGGGAAAGGUAGCUUGCUACCUGACCUAGCGGCGGACGGGUGAGUAAUGCUUAGGAAUCUGCCUAUUAGUGGGGGACAACAUCUCGAAAGGGAUGCUAAUACCGCAUACGUCCUACGGGAGAAAGCAGGGGACCUUCGGGCCUUGCGCUAAUAGAUGAGCCUAAGUCGGAUUAGCUAGUUGGUGGGGUAAAGGCCUACCAAGGCGACGAUCUGUAGCGGGUCUGAGAGGAUGAUCCGCCACACUGGGACUGAGACACGGCCCAGACUCCUACGGGAGGCAGCAGUAGGGAAUAUUGGACAAUGGGGGGAACACUGAUCCAGCCAUGCCGCGUGUGUGAAGAAGGCCUUUUGGUUGUAAAGCACUUUAAGCGAGGAGGAGGCUACCGAGAUUAAUACUCUUGGAUAGUGGACGUUACUCGCAGAAUAAGCACCGGCUAACUAUGUG